CCUACGGGUGGCUGCAGUGGGGAACAUUGGACAAUGGGCGAAAGCCUGAUCCAGCCAUGCCGCGUGUGUGAAGAAGGCCUUCGGGUUGUAAAGCACUUUCAGUGGGGAAGAAAGCCUUGGGGCUAAUACCCUCGAGGAAGGACAUCACCCACAGAAGAAGCACCGGCUAACUCCGUGCCAGCAGCCGCGGUAAUACGGAGGGUGCGAGCGUUAAUCGGAAUUACUGGGCGUAAAGCGCGCGUAGGCGGUCUGAUAAGCCGGUUGUGAAAGCCCCGGGCUCAACCUGGGAACGGCAUCCGGAACUGUCAGGCUAGAGUGCAGGAGAGGAAGGUAGAAUUCCCGGUGUAGCGGUGAAAUGCGUAGAGAUCGGGAGGAAUACCAGUGGCGAAGGCGGCCUUCUGGACUGACACUGACGCUGAGGUGCGAAAGCGUGGGUAGCAAACAGGAUUAGAUACCCGUGUAGUC
rnacentral:rRNA from 1 species